GACGAACGCUGGCGGCGUGCUUAACACAUGCAAGUCGAACGGAAAGGCCCUGCUUGCAGGGUACUCGAGUGGCGAACGGGUGAGUAACACGUGGGUGAUCUGCCCUGCACUUCGGGAUAAGCCUGGGAAACUGGGUCUAAUACCGGAUAGGAGCCAUUUUUAGUGUGAUGGUUGGAAAGUUUUUUCGGUGUAGGAUGAGCUCGCGGCCUAUCAGCUUGUUGGUGGGGUAAUGGCCUACCAAGGCGGCGACGGGUAGCCGGCCUGAGAGGGUGGACGGCCACAUUGGGACUGAGAUACGGCCCAGAAUCCUACGGGAGGCAGCAGUGGGGAAUAUUGUACAAUGGGCGCAAGCCUGAUGCAGCGACGCCGCGUGGGGGAGGACGGCCUUCGGGUUGGAAACUCCUUUCGCUAGGGACGAAGCUUUUUGUGACGGUACCUAGAGAAGAAGCACCGGCUAACUACGUG
rnacentral:rRNA from 1 species